rnacentral:rRNA from 1 species
UACGGAGGGAGCUAGCGUUGUUCGGAAUUACUGGGCGUAAAGCGCGCGUAGGCGGCUUUGUAAGUUAGAGGUGAAAGCCCAGGGCUCAACCUUGGAACUGCCUUUGAUACUGGCUAUCUUGAGUACGGGAGAGGUGUGUGGAACUCCAAGUGUAGAGGUGAAAUUCGUAGAUACUGGGAGGAACACCGGGUGGCGAAGGCGCUACCUGGACCGGUUCUGACGCUGAGGCGCGAAAGCGUGGGUAGCAAACAGGG